GGAUGUGAAGGUGAUCUGGCUGCAACGUCUGUCACCCCAUUGAUCAGCAGGGUUGAUUCGGCUGAUCUGACUGGCUUGGUGGGUGUCCCCUUUCUCCCUUACUGCUCCAUAUGUGUCCCUCCUGAAGCUGCAUGCUCAGUGGAAGAGGACAACUUCCCUUCCCCGCCCCCCAAAUAAAAAUAAUAACAAAAAUUCUC
rfam:Myotis brandtii contig200679, whole genome shotgun sequence.